rnacentral:tRNA from 1 species
GCCUCGAUAGCGCAGUAGGCAGCGCGCGAGUCUCAUAAUCUCGAGGUCGAUGUCGUGAGUUCGAACCUCACUCGGGGCA